GUGUGAGUCCUGGUAGGAGGUGUCGCCGGGAAGGUGGCCUGAGCUCAUGGAGGCAGCAUCUCAGAGACGAUGGUGGAGGGAGAUAAUCACAGCACCAACCUGCUGGCUGCAGAGACUGCAAGUCUGGAAGAACAGCUGCAAGGAUGGGGAGAAGUGGUGCUGAUGGCUGACAAAGUCCUUCGAUGGGAAACAGCCUGGUUUCCACCUGCCAUCAUGGGUGUGGUUUCUUCGGUGUUUCUGAUGAUCUACUAUCUAGACCCAUCUGUUCUGUCGGGCGUUUCCUGUUUUGUUAUGUUUUUGUGCUUGGCUGACUACCUCGUUCCCAUUCUAGCGCUUAGAAUUUUUGGCUCCAAUAAAUGGACCACUGAACAACAGCAAAGAUUCCAUGAAAUUUGCAGCAAUCUAGUAAAAAACUCGAUGCAGAGCUGUGGGUUGGUGGAAACGCCUCGUCACACUAAAGGAAGAAAAACCUAAGAUGUACUUCAUGACCAGGAUCGUUUCCCUUGCUGCGGUUGCUUGGGUGGGACAGCAAGUCCACAACCUGCUUCUUACCUACCUCAUAGUGACUUCCCUACUGUUGCUUCCUGGACUAAACCAACAUGGAAUCAUUUUGAAGUACAUUGGAAAGGCCAAAAUGGAGAUAAACAAACUUCUCAAACAAAAAGAAAAGAAAAACGAAUAAUUCAUCUGCUUUAUUCAGCGUGAUUAAUGGA